UGAGUAACCUGCCCUUCACUCUGGGAUAACUCCGGGAAACCGGGGCUAAUACUGGAUAUGACUCGAACAGGCAUCUGUUUCGGGUGGAAAGAUUUAUUCGGUGGAGGAUGGACUCGCGGCCUAUCAGCUUGUUGGUGAGGUAAUGGCUCACCAAGGCGACGACGGGUAGCCGGCCUGAGAGGGCGAUCGGCCACACUGGGACUGAGACACGGCCCAGACUCCUACGGGAGCA
rnacentral:rRNA from 1 species